UACGGGGGGGGCAAGCGUUGUUCGGAAUUACUGGGCGUAAAGGGCUCGUAGGUGGCCAAUUAAGUCAGACGUGAAAUCCCCGAGCUUAACUUGGGAACUGCGUCUGAUACUGAGUGGCUUGAAUUCGGGAGAGGGAUGCAGAAUUCCAGGUGUAGCGGUGAAAUGCGUAGAUAUCUGGAGGAAUACCGGUGGCGAAGGCGGCAUCCUGGACCGAGAUUGACACUGAGGAGCGAAAGCCAGGGGAGCAAACGGG
rnacentral:rRNA from 1 species